AUCACCAGUGGAUCUUGUUAAGGUGCAGAUUCUGACUCAGUACCUCUGGGGUAAGGCCUGAGAUUCUGCAUUUCUAACAAGCUUCCAGGUGAUAUUUA
rnacentral:pre_miRNA from 1 species